UAUUGACAUCCUUCCGUACUGCUGGCUGGGAUAAAACACUAAUUUUCCAUUAGACAAUAGCCCCUACAAUGUGCUAGGCUAGGCACUGUCCACAUCAUCCAACCGGAGAGAAACUGCCUCUCCUCCCCAGGACAUAUACCACACUUGAGAUCAGCAGAGGCACCAAAGCUGAAGCUCCCUUGAAUAGAACAGAAGAUGCUGCUGGCAGGGCAUUCUGGGAAGGCCCCAUGACUGUGUGAUUCAACUCCUUUAACUUGGUCAAAAAUAACCCAGAUUUGUAGACCUUCAAGGCAUGCUGCAAAGCCUAUUACUGUUAAGCAGGCAUUUGGCAAGGGCUGAAGUGGCUGGCGGUGGGGUUUCUUUGGGGAAUUUGGGUGAGGAGAUAUUGAUUCGGUUUGUGAUGUGAUUUGCUACUGGGUGGCUAUCUGUAUAGGGGAAAAUGUGCUGCUGUUGUAGAUCUGUAAUGAUGUCUGUUGUGCGUUUUUAUUUGAUGGCAAGGACACCUAGAAUCUGGGAUAGGCCUUACUGUGUAUCUAUUUAAAUCAAAAUAAAUAAAUACCCUGAAGAACUCACAACUUAAGGUCCUGUGUAACAUGUCACACAGUUGCUAAAAUAAGUUCAACUCUAUUGGCAUUAGCAAUGGUAGAAGUAUAAUGUAGAUGUGCUGUUGGCAUUUUACAUGCUGCCUCAUCGAAACGUGUUCAGAUCAGGUCUAGUGGACUUUUUUUUU